rnacentral:lncRNA from 1 species
AUGACAUCAAAGGAAAGGGAGAGAGAGAAAAGAAAGCAAUUUCUUCAAGGCUGUUUCAAUAUGGUCUGUUUGAUGAAAUACACAUUGAGAUUCAUAAAGAGCAGCUAAGCCUAGAAAGAUAAUGGAGGCAUAACCACCCACAUAUUCAAAGGGAUUCAAAUUCACGCUACAAGUUCAUCAUGUGAAAAUCCUUAAAAAAAAGUCCUUCAGUUGUAGAUUCCAUGGUCUCCCAGUCAUGAAAACAUAAUUAAUUUGACAAUCAAAGUUAAUCCAGCAAAGACAGUGAGCAGGAUUGUACAAGGAAAGAGUGGAAUCACAGAACUCCCAUCAGGAAAAUAAACCCAGAACAUUUAGUGUACCGAUGUGGAAUCUGUGGCAUAGACAAGUGAAGAAUUUCUUCUAUAUUCAUUUGGAGAAAAGGCACCCUUUGAGAAGAGAAAACGAACAGUGGGAAGAUGGAAGAAUGAACAGUGAGUGACUGUACAUCGUCAGAGUACCGUAUAAAAUAUCUGAAAAUAUCACAAUAAAAUUCAUUUUCUGCAGAAAAGAGAUGUGAUUACCAAGCUUAAGUGUGCUGUAUAUUAAAUGAAAAUUCUGAUCAUAAAGAAAGUCCCCAAACUCAGGAGUAUGAAGGAUGUUCAGAAAGCCAACAAGGAAAAUCGACCACUCAAAAAUAGUACAGAUAUGCAGAUGGAAAGGAACAAAAGUCAUUAUGAUUGUGGUAACCAAGACACAGAACACAAAUAUGAUGUCCGGACCCUACUGCCGAAGACAAGACCUAUAGAACUUGCUGAAAAUGGAGGAGUGUCUUCUUUGCUCAGCCAUCAUGAGAGAAGCUUCCUCCUGAAGCAGAUGGCAAAUGGCCAAUAUCAGAUAUUAUGCAGCUAGUGAGAGCCUUUGGACCAUUCAGCCCAAAACAAGAUGAUUCCAUCAAGCCCUUUCCCUCAGUUCUCAGAGAACUCUUGGAAGAGGUAGCAGAAAGAGUAUAAGAUCCACACGUGAUGGAGGAAACAUGAUCUUCUAAACACACCAGGACUUAUGCACAUAAGAACUCACAGACUAAGACAACAUGAACAGAGCCUGCAAGGGUUUGCAGCAGGUCUGGGACUACAAGUGUUCACCACUACAGCUGUCUUUUAUGUGGGAGUUGGAAAUUGAGCUCAAGCCCUUAUGUCUGCGCAUCAGGAACUUUGCCCAGAGAGCUGUGUCCCUACCCCUAUACAACAUGAUUUCUUUAUAUUUAUUGCCCAAGGAAAUAUUUUCAACUAGUUCCUAGAAUUCAUCAAUGGCUAAAGAAACCUGUGUUAAUUGUAAUGGUCAAACUCACUGUAUUAGACUCAUUUAUGCACUGGAAAUUGUUUACAUCAAUAACCGUGAGUUCUGAAAAGAAAAAGGCUAAACUUAAUGGCAUUGUGAUAUUGACUCUGGAGUUUAAAUAGUAAAUAGUUGAACAUUGAAUAAAAAGUCUGGAGAGAUGGUGGAGAAUGGGUUUAUUUAUUUUAGUUCACAUUCAAGAUGCAGCACAUCAGAGUGGAAAAGUCAAGCCAAGCAGGAGCCAGACACAACAGCUCGCAUCAGAUUGAAAACCGGAAAGCAGAGUGAUAAAGGCUUCCUAGUACUCAGCUCGCCUCCAUUCAUAGAGGCCAGGACCCUAAAUAGGAUAAGGGUUCCAUGGUGGACAUGUCGGUCUUCCAGCCGCAAUUAAUGUAAUGAAGAAAACUCCUCACUUGCAUCUCCUAGAUAGUUUCAGAUUCUGUCAAGUUGACGGUUAACUUUAACCAACACAGGUAGUAUGAUCUAUAUGUAGAAAGAAGAGGGUAUUUAUUA